AAACAAAAGUAGUAAUGUCACAUAUUACGAAAUUAAAGCUACGGAACUGAUGUCGGCGACUAUAUAUGAUAACAAAAAUACAAAGUUGAAGACAAAUUACACUUGCUGGAGUGUGGAAAUGCGGAAUCUAGAUCAAAGUGCGCAAGAAGGAGUUCGGGAGUACAGCUAUCUGGUUACAGCUACGCAGGCAGUACACGUCAUUGAUGAAAAAGUGAUGACAGCUUCUUCGCUUAAUUAUACUACAAGAAAUGCAGUCAAGUACAGUUAUACAAAAGAUGGUGAGAAUGGCGUCGACCCAGUCAUUUUUACUGAUGGUAAUAUAUGCGACAUAUUUAAUGUUCCAAGAGUGUCUCCUGCAAAUGGCUGCGAGUUGUGGGUGAAUGCUGAAUAUAGGGAUGAUGUUCCCGCAUGCUGCUCGUUUAUAUAUGACCUUCUCUGCGAUGUCGACAAAACCUACGAUAUAUACGACAAGAAUAAAUGUGCGAAAGUUGCUUAAACUUGGCAAAAAAUUUCUGGAUGAGCACGCGCUUCAUGAAAAAGUGAGCAUCUUUACUGAAACACAAGGCAUGUUCAAAUUAUAUACAAGCUGUCUUGAUAUAUCGUCGGUGUUUGAAGCACAAGACUGACAUAUGCACAUACUGCAUUUUAUUCUGCUUGAAUAAAAGUG